rnacentral:rRNA from 1 species
ACUCCUACGGGAGGCAGCAGUGGGGAAUAUUGCACAAUGGGCGCAAGCCUGAUGCAGCAACGCCGUGUGAGUGAAGAAGGUUUUCGGAUCGUAAAACUCUGUCCUAAGGGAAGAAACAAAUGACGGUACCUUAGGAGGAAGCCCCGGCUAACUACGUGCCAGCAGCCGCGGUAAUACGUAGGGGGCAAGCGUUAUCCGGAAUCACUGGGCGUAAAGGGUGCGUAGGCGGCUUAGCAAGCCAGGGGUGAAAGGCAUUGGCUCAACCAAUGUAAGCCUUUGGAACUGUUAAGCUUGAGUGCAGGAGAGGUAAGUGGAAUUCCUAGUGUAGAGGUGAAAUUCGUAGAUAUUAGGAGGAACACCAGUGGCGAAGGCGACUUACUGGACUGUAACUGACGCUGAUGCACGAAAGCGUGGGUAGCGAACAGGAUUAGAUACCCUUGUGGCACAGAG